GCAAUACGGAGCGGCAGACGGGAGAGUAACACGUGGGAACGUGCCCUUCAGUUCGGAACAACCCAGGGAAACUUGGGCUAAUACCGGAUACGUCCGUAAGGAGAAAGAUUUAUCGCUGAAGGAUCGGCCCGCGUCUGAUUAGCUAGUUGGUGAGGUAACGGCUCACCAAGGCGACGAUCAGUAGCUGGUCUGAGAGGAUGAUCAGCCUCACUGGGACUGAGACACGGCCCAGACUCCUACGGGAGGCAGCAGUGGGGAAUAUUGGACAAUGGGCGCAAGCCUGAUCCAGCCAUGCCGCGUGGGUGAUGAAGGCCCUAGGG
rnacentral:rRNA from 1 species